CGCGGGGGUUUUGCGGUGCGCGGAGCGGCGGGGGGUUGGGCUGCCCGCAGCCGCUCCCCGUGCGUGAAUAGUUGUCGGUAACAUCAACCUGACGUCAUCCCCGGGUAAAAAGAUCCCUCUUUUGUUCUCCUUCCCUCCCACCGCUCCCCCUUCGAAAAUGAAAAGCGUGAACAUUUGCGAAAAAUAAAAACUAACGAGGAUUGCUCUCCCCCACGUUAAUGGCCGCGCACGGGGGGAUGUAGCGCGGAGGAUCCUGCCCGGGCUGCGCCGCGCCGCGCCGCGCCGUAAUGAAGGCGCGGGCCCUUUGAUCCGGGCUUCUGCAGGCUGCCUCUCUUUUCUUAGUUCCCUCUGCUUCCCUUUUCUGCACCCUUAAAUAUGAAUGGUGAACCGAGAAGAGAGGAGGCCAAGAGGAAAAUGUGUCUUACUGAGACUUGCCAGCUAUCCAAGUUGCAUGCAGAGAGACAGUUCCAGCUCAUGCGUCUGGCUCGGACAGCAGCAUCGGCUAUCAAACACCCUGUUGCCUGCCUUGCUCCAGGCUGGAGUAACUGCUAUGGUGAGCUGAGGGAGCUGGUGGGGGCUGCUGCUGCUGCCUGUGUUUGUGGAUGCAUCUUAUGUUACAUGCUCAGAAUGAGGGCACUGGCAGGAGAGGAGAGGUGUCUGCAAUCGCAGACUGUCACUUGUCAGGCAGAGGGGCACAGAGCAGGCUUCUUCCUGCCAGCUUAUCCCAUUGGAGUUUCUGGCCCUAGGUUUCUAUGGGAUUCUGCAACAGUGAAGUUUGAGAGGCCUGAAGGAAACAAGUUACAACAGGAUAUCCAUGCUGUGAAACUGCUAAGAACUUUUAUCUACCAUAGCUUUGAAGCCAAGACAUCAGUGCCUUUUCUGUGGUGGAAGGAGUUUGUAAGAGCAGGUGGUGCCAGGCUUAUUCCCUGUGGAAGCCAUCUCAAGACCAGCUAUUGCACUAUGAAUCCCUUCUGCCUUGGAGGAUAACCUGCCCUGGUCUUAGCAUCCGUCAUCCUGCAGCCACCAGGAGAGGGGUAACUCCUGACACUGCUCAUACUUUCAUGCUGGACUGUCCCCUUUUUUUUUAUUAUACUAAAGGACAGGAAAGGAAUGUGCCAUGGUUUCAUUACUUUUGAGGAGGAAAAACAGCAACAAAGAAAAGAAAAUAGCACUCCAGUGCAAAUAUCCAGAUUUGCAACAUCCCUUGAUUUUUGUCAACAAUUAACAGAAGUGUGAUACUGGAGGCUUUUAUUAAUUGAAUAAAGCCUAGUUUUAUUUUUCUUUUCAAAAUCAUUAUCAUAUAUAUGUAUUUUUCCUUCUUUGUGUUGAAAUUGGUGAGGGUCAUCAGUACUGGCAACAGGCCUGAUGUUGUCAAGUGCUGCACUCCCCUUAACAUCAAUAGAGCCUGAAGAGUAACAAACUUGAUGCAAGAGGAGGCCUCAGAGGAGAUUGCCCUGAAGCAAAUAAAAAUUACAUCCUCUAUCGUUGUCUGUACUUAUUAUUUCCAAGUAUUCAGAUAAUUUUAAGAUGUAUAUAUGAAAGGAAAAGAUACAAACUCAGCUUCACUCUGUCUUUGACGCAUAAUGGAUAUCCCAAAAUAAGGUAUAUUGCCACUUAGGCCUUCUUUUAUGUAACUAGUGAAAUAAAUGAAUAUCUUCAUGGGAGAAUUAAAACUGUGAAAGGUAUGAAAGCCCCCGAGAAGGGGACUGUUGCCUCUGUGACUUCAGUGUCUAUAAACCUAAUGUAGGUCUCUUAUCCAAGUGUUCAUGGUUAGGAGGGGUGAGUCUAGUCCGUAUUCACUGAGAUGAUAAUGAAACUUAGGACAGGACGAUUUGUAAAUGAUAAUAUCCUUUAAUUUCUGUUUAAGGAAGGUGUGCACUCGAAUGGUUCCAGUAACUGUGUUUGCUAGAGCUGUUAGCACCUGAAGUCAAAAAACAAUGUAGCCAACAAAAAAUGAAUGAUUUUUGGGAGGGAAUCCUAGAGAAUGGGAUUUUAGUGGGGACAAGAAGAG
ensembl:lncRNA